ensembl:lncRNA
GACCUGUGGUUUAGUGUCUGACAGUAAGCUGGAGAAGUUCUAGCGACUGUAGCCCACCAGGCUCCUCUGUCCAUGGGAUUCUCCAGGCAAGAAUACUGGAGUGGGGUGCCAUUUCCUCUUCCAGGGGAUCUUCCCGACCCAAGGAUUGAACCUGCAUCUCUUCCAUCUCCUGCACUGGCAGGUUUCUUUCAGAGGAAAUUGUUCCACAUAAAUUUGGCGUCUCAAAAAAAUGGACCCAAACUGACCUCAGAGAUGACCCCUCUCCUGUUGAGAAACCUGCCAAGAAUGAACAGAAUCCCAUCACCGCAGAGACUGCUGAAAAACUGGCCUGUGUGGCCUGAAGUUUGCUAAGUAUGUGGCGUGUUCUGUACUCACACAGAAAGGCAUAAAGAAUGUAUUUAACGAAACAAUUUUGGCUGCCCUGGAGACGCCAGAACCGAAGAACAGCCACAGGUGUGUGCUGCUAUCAACAACUCUCCAGGAGUGUUUCUGCAUAGCUGGUGUCCGCAUGAUCCUACAAGCAAUGUUUCAAUCAAACUAAGGG